rnacentral:rRNA from 1 species
UGGGGAAUAUUGGACAAUGGGGGCAACCCUGAUCCAGCCAUGCCGCGUGUGUGAAGAAGGCCUUCGGGUUGUAAAGCACUUUAAGCGGGGAGGAAGGUUCGUCACCUAAUACGUGACGGAAUUGACGUUACCCGCAGAAUAAGCACCGGCUAACUCUGUGCCAGCAGCCGCGGUAAUACAGAGGGUGCAAGCGUUAAUCGGAAUUACUGGGCGUAAAGCGCGCGUAGGUGGUUGUGUAAGUUGGAUGUGAAAGCCCCGGGCUUAACCUGGGAACUGCAUUCAAAACUGCACGGCUAGAGUACGGGAGAGGGGGGUAGAAUUCCAGGUGUAGCGGUGAAAUGCGUAGAGAUCUGGAGGAAUACCGAUGGCGAAGGCAGCCCCCUGGCCUGAUACUGACACUGAGGUGCGAAAGCAUGGGGAGCAAACA